rnacentral:tRNA from 1 species
GCGGACGUAGCCCAAACGGCAGAGGCAGCGGGUUCAGGUAUCGCCGAGUGCAAGUUCGAGUCUUGCCGUCCGCA